rnacentral:rRNA from 1 species
ACGCUCGACACCUACGGGGGGCAGCAGUGGGGAAUAUUGCACAAUGGGGGAAACCCGUGAUGCAGCGACGCCGCGUGAGCGAAGAAGUAUUUCGGUAUGUAAAGCUCUAUCAGCAGGGAAGAAACUGACGGUACCUGACUAAGAAGCACCGGCUAAAUACGUGCCAGCAGCCGCGGUAAUCUGAGGCGGGCUGGCAAGGC